rnacentral:rRNA from 1 species
GACGAACGCUGGCGGCGUGCUUAACACAUGCAAGUCGAACGGUGAAGGGAUCAGCUUGCUGGUUCUGGAUGAGUGGCGAACGGGUGAGUAACACGUGAGUAACCUGCCCCCUUCUUCUGGAUAACCGCAUGAAAGUGUGGCUAAUACGGGAUAUUCUGGGUCUGUCGCAUGAUGGGUCUGGGAAAGAUAUUGUUUCGGUGGGGGAUGGGCUCGCGGCCUAUCAGCUUGUUGGUGGGGUGAUGGCCUACCAAGGCGGUGACGGGUAGCCGGCCUGAGAGGGUGGACGGUCAUACGGGGACUGAGACACGGCCCAGACUCCUACGGGAGGCAGCAGUGGGGAAUAUUGCACAAUGGGCGCAAGCCUGAUGCAGCGACGCCGCGUGAGGGAUGGAGGCCUUCGGGUUGUAAACCUCUUUCGCCAGUGAAGCAGGCCUGCUCCUUGUGGGUGGGUUGACGGUAGCUGGAUAAGAAGCGCCGGCUAACUACGUG